CGACUUAGUGUGGAGGUAGCUGUAUAGCUUCGACUGUAAGGACUGAGAUUUUGACAGUGCAACUAAACUCUCUAUUGAUGAUGUUUAUGUGUGUAAUUUAAUUACAUAAGUACUCGUCAAGUUACAGGAGAAAACGAGUUAGAACGGAGGAGUUACGCGAUCUUUAUUUUUCACUUAAGUGAAUAGUAACUUGGUUUUUUCGGUGAAGCCACGUUGUGAAGUUGGCUUCAGGCUCGUAUCGGACUCCGUUCAUAGUAGUCCAAUAGCUCGUUUCGAUCAGUUCAGCUAUUCUGGAACUAUUGGCGCUGACGGAUUUUGAGUUUGACGCACGGAUUUCAAGAAAAUCCAAAAAAUACAUGUUUUAUAUGUAUUUAGGUGUUAUUUCUUCUGUUGGAAAGAAAGAUUGGAUUGUGUCGUGAAUCCGUGGUCGAUCGAGGUGAAAUGAAAUCGCAGCUUUGUUGUCUCCGUCAUGCUGAUUGCACUGGUGCAAUCCGUUCGCAAAUCUGACGGACGGAUCUGCGGAGAUUGCGCGUUGAUCGAGGAGAGGUCGGUAAUGGCAAAACGGUAAUUUCGCAAAAGUCGCGAUAUUUUAUGUAUCAUUUCGCGUAAGAUCGCACGUG
rnacentral:lncRNA from 1 species